UUAUAAUGUUAAAGAUGUCUUCCAAGUGAUAUCUUGGUCGAUGGUAACGCAUAUCUGUGCUCCUAUGGCAUGGAAGCCUACACUACAUUUUGAAUGUCCCCCUCCUCCCCCGCCUCCACCCGUCAGAGGGACUAGGAGGGGAAAGAAAGUCGUUACUCCGCCAGUAAUUCAAGUUAAAGUCUUAAACCAUCAGGAAAAUGGACCUUCUAUUGGCUCAAAUACUGUUAAUUGGGUUAGUCCUCAGUUUGAAGGAGUUGAUGAUAAAUUUGUUAAAAGAAAGAAAACCAGAACUCGCUCCACCCUCCCUCCUCGGGCACUCUUCAAACAACCGACCAAUAGCGAGGACAGUUGUCAUGGUAAUCCUAAACAACAAGCAGUUCUUGAAUUUGUAACAGUCCCUCGUCAAUUACCCAAAGCCACACCCACAAGUGACCCGCCCAUUGAUGAAAAUGUUGACAUUAUUAAUACCAAGAGUGGAUAAGGAGGAGGGGAGAGUGUCUAACUGCCCUAUGCUGCUAGUGAUAUGUGCGCGUAGAAGUCUUUCACAGUUUGUUUAGCACCUUCUUUGACCUGUUUAAACAUCAACAGCCAUGAUAGUAAAUGGGUGUGUUUUUAAUAACCUAUAUGGUGCACCCACCCACACGUGUAGUCACGAUUUUUCAAGAGGAAGAGUCAGAACUACAGCACAAUCCAGAUGAUCAUGACUGUUACAACAGAUUGAGAGCAUCUAAUCUUGAUGAGCGCCAUGCCACUACACCUAAGUGCCCUAAAGCAUCAAGAAAGAGGACAUGGAGUCAAGAGUCAGAAGCCUCUGUUCCAGUGAACUCAGAUCUGUAAUACUUCAUUUUUAAGAUCAACAGCAGUUAACAGCCCGUCUCAAAAGUACAUGUACCACAUAUUCUUUCACUUCUAUUAUUAUCCUUACUCUUGAUGUGGGUCCCAAGGGACCAGACUAAAGGAGGAUGAUCAUUGAUCAAGAGCUUUUCAUGUGUCAAUAACAAACAUGGUUUGUGUGCUUGGAAACUACAAAUCUCUUCAGAGUGGUACAAAGUGACUGGUACAACAAGGUGAGGUCAAAUUCUGCUUCCAAGGUCUCUGUAUGGUCUCUUGCUGCUCAGUUCAGCAGCCAUUUUUAUAUUACAGUUAACUUAAGUACACGCCCAACUAUGGCUUCAGUGCAGUGCAGUUAUCACUUAUUGUGCUAAAUAAGGGUAUUGUGUAUAAGCCGUUACAGUUUUCAAUGGAUUCUGGUAGUUAUGAAGAAGAGAGGAAGCAACUACUCCAGUCAUCAUAGAAAUAGCAACAAGAAGCAGAACACACUAUAGACUAAUGUUAUAAAGUAUUGUAUACCAUUUCAUUGUAUUAUAGUUUUAAAUGAAUAAAAUAAUUAAGAAA